rnacentral:rRNA from 1 species
AACUUUCAACAACGGAUCUCUUGGUUCUGGCAUCGAUGAAGAACGCAGCCGAAAUGCGAUAAGUAAUGUGAAUUGCAGAAUUCAGUGAAUCAUCGAAUCUUUGAACGCACAUUGCGCCCUCUGGUAUUCCGGGGGGCAUGCCUGUUCGAGCGUC